rnacentral:lncRNA from 10 species
CCGCGGCGAUGGGCUGGCUGCGAUUCCACUGGGACACAGGGACUUGUAUAAAGGGGCAGCUCCCUUAGAGUCUACAUCAUCAAACCUAAUAGGAACAGUAUCUUGUGAUCACUGUGACCUGCAGCCCAAGGGGGUAUGCACAAAGCAAUCCCAAGAUGUGUGCAGUGGGGGGUGGACACCCAGCUCCCUGCAUGGGUCAGACCCCAGAGCUGGCCAGUUUCUCUGUUGUCCUCCAAUCUGGCUUCCAGUGGUGGCAGCCACUCUCCUGGUUCCUGCAGGAGAGAGACGAAAGUGGCGAGGGGGUGUCUCACAAGGAGAACUGUGCCGGUUUCAUUUCUGCUUUGAGGCGAGACACAUCCUGUGUGUCAGACUACCCAGGGAGUGCUCCUGUUCUCCCAGCGCCAACCACCAACAGUGCAGUGACCAGGAGCAGGAGACCCUGGGGAGUCGAGACCAGGGACAUGGCUGUCAUGGCUGUGCAGGGAGCUUGGCCCCAGGCCCCACCCUGCCUCCUUCCCUGCACGGCGGCCUCUCCACAGAGGCCACUCUCACUGGGUUUCUGUCUUCCACACCCCAUCUCAUUGUGAGGAAAAGCCCAGCCUGGCUGGAGGGGAUUAGGAGCAGGUGGGAGAAUGCAGACAGGUGCGAUCUCUCCUCUGCUCUGUGUGCUCAGUAACCCCAGGCAAGUCCCUGAACUUCCCUGAGACUCAGUUUCUCCUCUGAGAAGUGGGGGUCCCCACUCACCUCCAUCAGGGCUGUCCCCAGGCCCUAGCAGGUUGGUGGACACACACUUGUUUGGGGUUCAAUAUACAAAAUAAGCUCUUGCUGUUAUCUUUUUUCUGCUUUCUUUCUUUUCCCAAGCUUCAGACUAGCUAGUGGUAUAUCAUGUUCCUUGUACACCUGCUAGGCUCAUUCAAAGCAAAAUGUUUAGGCAGAGCAUGGUGGCUCAUCUCAACAACCCUUAUCUCCCAGGUUCUCACACCGACUUCUUGAGUUACGUAACGAAGUCUUGAUGAUUCCCAUCUUGUCGCUAGACGGAUGAGGGUCAGGGUGGUUUCAAAAGCCUAUGCAGGGUCACCUGGUGAAGAAACAGCAGGUUGAACCUGGGCGCAGCGUUCUGAUUCUGAGGAGAAAGGGAACAUGAAAGAGAUCAUUUCCCUACUUGUCUUAUCAGACACCGGCUACCACCGUGGAGCUUGGGUGUGUUCAGAGGCCAUUGUUCUACCUACAUCUGGGGCCAGGAAGAGCAAAGGCUGACAGGUGAGCAAGGCCUUGUGUGGCAUGACACCAGGGGACAGGCUGGCUCAGGGCUUCCAGACAAUGGGCCAUUUUUUGGCUCCAGUGUGCACCCAGGGACUUGCCAGCACUCACCUCUAGUUGUUGAAAGGGCAGGCUGGGUGAGGCAGGUCGGGGAACUCUCUCUGCAGUUCUUCCUUUCAGUUUUUAGUCGUCUUCUCCUGACUGUUCUGUUGCCAAAACCCCCCAGCCCUCCAGCAUCCCCUUCCCCACCCCAUCCUCCUCACCUGCUAGAACUCUUAUGUAGCUGUCAAGUCCCAGCCCAAAUGCCCCUUUCUCCAGUCUUCCCCAGCUCCCCUACACAGACUGAAGCCCCCUCCUCUAUUUCUUUUUUUCUUGAGACCAAGUCUCGCUCUGUCACCCAGGCUGGAGUGCGGAGGUACGAUCUUGGCUCACUGCAAACUCCCCCUCCCGAGUUCAAGUGAUUCUCCUGCCUCAGCCUCCCGAGUAGCUGGGAUUACAGGCACCCACCACUAUGCUUGGCUAAUUUUUUUUUUUUUUUUGUAUUUUUAGUAGAUAGAGAUGGGGUUUCACCAUGUUGGCCAGGGUGGUCUCGAACUCCUGACCUCAAGUGAUCCACCUGCCUCAGCCUCCAAAAGUGCUGGGAUUACAGGCGUGAGCCACUGCACCUGGCCAAUUUCUUUCUUUCUUUUUCUUUUUCUUUUUUUUUUUUUUUUUUUUUGAGAUGGAGUAUUGCUCCGUCACCCAGGCUGGAGUGCAGUGGCACAAUCUCGGCCCACUGCAAGCUCCGCCUCCCGGGUUCAUGCCAUUCUCCUGCCUCAGCCUCCUGAGAAGCUGGGACUACAGGCACCCACCACCAUGCCUAAUUUAUUUGUAGUUUUAGUAGAGACGGGGUUUUACAGUGUUAGCCAGGAAGAUCUUAUCUCCUGACCUCGUGAUCCGCCCGCCUCGGGCUCCCAAAGUGCUGAGAUUACAGGUGUGAGCCACUGCGCUCGGCCAGCGCCCGGCCAGUUUCUGUACUGCAUUACAGAUAGCCAAUCUGAGACCUCUUCUAGAGGGCUAUGGUGGCUGCUUUGCAUGUCUGCUUCCCUCCACGAGGAGGGCAAGGCCCACGUUGGUUCAACCUUGCAUAAAUGUUGGCUGAAUGAAUGAAUUCAAUAAAUUCUAAAUAAGCACCAAAUGUGUGAUGGGUGCUUGCUGUGGAGGAUACAAGGAUGAGCAAGAUGUGUUCUCUGCCUCCAAAGAGCUUACAUUCGAUGGGAGAGGCAAGGUACGUGAACAAGGAAAGUGGAAGGAAACACAGAAGCCAUGUCCCAGCAAGUGAGCACUCAAUAUGGCCAGCAUUCUAAUCUGGUGCUGCCCGUAACUUGCUGGAAGCCUCUAAGCAGGCUUCUUAGCCACUCUGGCCUUGGAACCCAGCAAGAGUAAUUCCUAUAGAUUGACGAUGGGGCUGCCAUUGGAUUCAGAUCACAGGAAGGGGCAAGUGACAGGUGCCUCUUCUUCCAAAGUCACAGGAGGGAGGGAGUCCCCCCGUCUAAGCCUCUUACCUGACCACAGUCUAGUUCAUGGUGUCUGAAGCUGACACGAUUGACAUUGGAGGCUGGAUAAUUCUUUGCUGUAAGGUCUAUCCUGAGCAUUGUAGGUUUUUUAGAAGUACUCACUAGAGGCUGGGCACAGUGGCUCACACCUGUAAUCCCAGCAGUUUGAGAGGCUGAGGUGGGAGGAUCACUUGAGGCCAGGAGUUCAAGAACAGCCUGGCUAACAUGGCAAAAUUCUGUCUCCACAAAAAAAAAAAAACCAAAAAUUAGCCAGGCAUGGUGGCUCCAGGUACUCAGGAGGCUGAGGCACAAGAAUCGCUUGAACCCGGGAGGUGCAGGUUGCAGUCAGCCAAGGUUGUGCCACUGUGCUCCAGCCUGGGUGACAGAGUGAGACCCUGUCUCAAAAAAAAAAAAAAAAAAAAAAAGCAUAGAGCAGAGAGACAGCCAGGCAUGGUGGCUCAGGCCUGUAAUCCCAGUGCUUUGGGACGCUGAGGCAGGAGGAUCUCUUUUUUUUUUUUUUUGAGACGGAGUCUUGCUCUGUUGCCCAGGCUGGAGUGCAGUGGUGUGAUCUUGACUCACUGCAAGCUCUGCCUCCUGGGUUCACGCCAUUCUCCUGCCUCUGCCUCCAGAGUAGCUGGGACUACAGGUGCCCACGAGCAUGCCUGGCUAAUUUUUUUUGUAUUUUUAGUAGAGACGGCUUUUCAUCGUGUUAGCCAGGAUGGUCUCGAUCGGCAGGAGGAUCUCUUGAGGCCAGAAUUUUGAGACUACUUGGGCAACAUAGCAAGAAUCCCGUCUCUAUAAUAUUUUUUUUUUAGACGGAGUUUCGCUCUUUUCGCCCAGGCUGGAGUGCAAUGGCAUGAUCUCGGCUCACUGCAACCUCCGCCUCCCUGGUUCAAGUGAUUCUCCUGUCGCAGCCUCCCAAAUAGCUGGGAUUACAGGUGCCUGCC